GUAACGCGUGGGAUCUACCCUUGACUACGGAAUAACGCAGGGAAACUUGUGCUAAUACCGUAUGUGUCCUUCGGGAGAAAGAUUUAUCGGUCAAGGAUGAGCCCGCGUUGGAUUAGCUAGUUGGUGGGGUAAAGGCCUACCAAGGCGACGAUCCAUAGCUGGUCUGAGAGGAUGAUCAGCCACAUUGGGACUGAGACACGGCCCAAACUCCUACGGGAGGCAGCAGUGGGGAAUAUUGGACAAUGGGCGCAAGCCUGAUCCAGCCAUGCCGCGUGAGUGAUGAAGGCCCUAGGGUUGUAAAGCUCUUUCACCGGAGAAGAUAAUGACGGUAUCCGGAGAAGAAGCCCCGGCUAACUUCGUGCCAGCAGCCGCGGUAAUACGAAGGGGGCUAGCGUUGUUCGGAAUUACUGGGCGUAAAGCGCACGUAGGCGGAUCGAUCAGUCAGGGGUGAAAUCCCAGGGCUCAACCCUGGAACUGCCUUUGAUACUGUCGAUCUGGAGUAUGGAAGAGGUGAGUGGAAUUCCGAGUGUAGAGGUGAAAUUCGUAGAUAUUCGGAGGAACACCAGUGGCGAAGGCGGCUCACUGGUCCAUUACUGACGCUGAGGUGCGAAAGCGUGGGGAGCAAACAGGAUUAGAUACC
rnacentral:rRNA from 1 species